UACGUAGGGACCAAGCGUUGUUCGGAUUUACUGGGCGUAAAGGGCGCGUAGGCGGUGCCACAAGUCACCUGUGAAAUCUCCGGGCUUAACUCGGAGCCUGCAGGCGAAACUGUGGUGCUGGAGUGUGGGAGAGGUGCGUGGAAUUCCCGGUGUAGCGGUGAAAUGCGUAGAGACCCGGAGGAACACCAGUGGCGAAGGCGGCUUCCUGGUCUGCGACUGACGCUGUGGCGCGGAAAGCUAAGGGGAGCAAACGGGG
rnacentral:rRNA from 1 species